GUUCGCUGGCGCCCGGAUGUCUGAGCUCUGGCUCCGCUCUGGCUCCGGCUCCCUCCGCAGCCUGCGGGCGGGGCUCCCAGCCCAUCCGGAGCCUCGCGGCGCCCCUGCCGCUCUGCCAGCAGCGCGGCCUCCCGGUUCCCAGCCUCCCGGCCUGGGGGGCCCCCCCGCCCAGCCGAGUUGCUGACCCGACUGCUUUCCCGCUGCCCCCAGCUGCGCUCGGGCCGCUGCAGCCUCGGCGCGCCCCCACCCCGCUUCCUGCCUCGGCAGCUUUGCCCGGACCGGGCGGCCGCCCUGGAUCGCACCCCGUUCCUUCCUUCCUUCAUUCUUUCAGGCAACUCGCAUUCCUCGAGCGCCUGCGACGUGCCCCGUACAAGGCCUCUCCGACCUUCGGAGUGUGGCCCACCGGGGUCCUCCCAGAAGCCUCUGCCCUCCUCACCCCGCCCUGGACUCUCCUCUCUGAUGUCCUGUUUCACUCAGAGGGUAGCAUUUAAUUGUUCUCUGAUUAUUUCUCCUGUUAAGGGUCAGUCGGUGGCAAGGUCAAGGGAGGGCUUUGUGACCGAAAUCAGGGGUCAGUCUGAAAGUAGGGUGAGGGAUCAGAAUGUGGCCAGAGUUGGGGUUCAGCCAAACUGUGGCAGGAUUUGGAGAUAGUGUGGGUAGUAGUUGGCAGCGCUCUGUCUAUGGCCAGGCUUUAUAGACAGGGAGGGUGUGAGGGUUAGUGUGAAUAGCAUCAGUAGCCAAGAUUAGUGAGUCAGUCUUUCGGUAGGGUCAGUGGACAAUCUGGAUCAGGGUAAUAGGUCACCCAGAGACCAGGAUUUGGGGGUUGACUUUGACAAGCCAGUUAAGGGGAGGAGGGCGCUGUAGCUUUCUGAACUCACAUUAGUGGUUCCUCUGUGGGCAGGGGGUGGGGGUGGUGGUGACCAUAGCUUCCCCCUGCAUCGUCCAGGUGGAGCUGGCCUUCCGUCUAGGACACUCAUUGUCCUCAACAACACCCUGCUUUGAUCAUGUGCCAGAUGUAGGGGAGGGGUAGGUAAGGGGGGCAAAACUCUCAUUGGAUCAGACCAUGGUCAGAAUGGCAGUAACACUGGCCAUGGCAGGGAGGCCCUAGGUGUCCCAGGAACCCCAUCUUGGAGUCACCCAUGUUUAACAGGGCCCCUGGCAGGUCUUACAGUGGGACCAGAUGUAUGAAGGCAUUGACUUAAAAAAUAUGCACAACCUUAAAGCUCUUUUAAAUCUUUGUACAAACCAACGCCGCAUAGAAUGGUCUUCAAACAGCCAUCACAGCCCUGCUGUGCUUUCUGUGAGUUCGGGAAUCAGACAGAUGCUGGUUGAAAAUGCGGGCUUUGUCGUCUAGCAGCUUUCCCAUCACAGGUAAGUCAUUUAUGCUCCCAGAGCCUCCGUGGUUACUGUGAUGAUUCAAGUAGAUGACAUAUGUAAAGCACCUGGCACUUGGGAGGCCCUGGGUGACCCCCCACCCCAGGGCCUGCUGGGCAUGGUUGUCAGAUUCCUCACAGAAUUCUUCCAUCAUCUCUCCUGGUGGUGGUGUGGUUGGCCCAGUCCAGUCACAGCAUCUCAGCACUGCCUGUCCAGCCUCUGUGCUCUUCAGAGCCCUUCCACACACAUGCAGGAGUAUCUGAUCAGCAGGACAGCUCGGUGCAGGGACUGAAAAACUGGGGCUGCACCCCGGGGUCCCCACUCUUAGGCUCUGCCACUUCGAACAAGCUCUUUCACCUCUCUGAGCCUCAGAGAGCCACCACAGAGCCCUGCUGAGGGUUUAGUGAGGAACUAAAGGCAAGCAUCUAGGGGCCUGCUAGCACGUGGAGGCACUCAGUAAGUCAGAGGCAGAGUUAGGAAUAGUCCUAUUUCACAGAAGAAGAAACUGAGUCCCUCAGGGGGUAAGUGAUUCAUCCAGUGUCAUGUGGAAAGAUCCCUUCACAGACCUGGGAUUAAAAACCACAUCUUCAGAGUUCCCCUUUGUGGCUCAGCAGGUUAAGAACCCAACAAUUGUCUGUGAGGAUGUGGGUUCAAUCCGGGGCCUUGCUCGGUGAGUUAAGGGUCUGGCAUUGCCACAAGCUGUGGUGUAGGUGGCAGAUGAGGCUCAGAGCUGGCAUUGCUGUGCCUGUGGUGUAGGCCAGUAGCUGCAGCUCAGAUUUGACCCCUAGCCGGGGAACUUCAAUGUGCCGCAGGUACAGCCAUUAAAACAAAACAAAACAAAACAAAAAAAA
rnacentral:lncRNA from 1 species